rnacentral:lncRNA from 1 species
CCUGCAUCUCCCUCUCGAGGUGUGUUCUCAGGACCAGUGGGGCACCAUCUUCACCUAUGACUGCACGAUCCUUGCGUGGAAAUAGCAAUUUUUGAAACCACUUCUGCAGAAGAUGAGCUUGCAAGGCUGUGCCAGGAUGAAGAAUAAUGACAAGCCUCGCCUGUGGAAGAGAUGCUGAGCUCGCUGCCUGGAAAACACCAGACACGUUCAGGACUGCCACAGAGAUUGUGCUGCUGAGGUGGCAUAGAGUUUCAGAUAUUUAUUAAUGAUUUCCUGCAUUUAGAGGGGAAAUACUUCCUAGGUAAGUGGAAAAUUGUGCCUACAGCUUCUGGAAGACCUUCUUCAUUCUAAGCAGCUUUAUUGUGAAACAUUUCACUUAGAAGUCUCGACCUUCUUUCUUCAGUUUGCUGGAAUCUACGUUCGCUGUGUAGAAUUCAUAUCAAUUAUUCGGACCCAGUUUGUUCCAGGGUUCUGGAUUGAACAAAUACCAGGCGCAAGACGUACAGCCCAGCUCCAGUACCUCUGGCUCCACUAAAUACGAAGAGAGGUAUCAAGCUUGGCUGCUUCUUGGAAGAUCUUGGAAGAUUUGGCAGAACGUUGUGGUGACAGGAGCCUAGAGUCCAAGAGAAAAGAACAGAUCUGCAAGGCGCGGGUGCUGAGAAAAUAGAUCUUAAGCCUUCUUUCUAUACACAGAAGAGGUAACUGUGUGAGAUGAGGAAUGUGUUAAAAUUACCUUAAUUGUGGUCAUCAUUUCACAACAUAUGCAUAUAUCAAAUCAUAUGGCACAUUUUAAGAAUAUACAAUUUUGUCAGUUAAAAUUAAAGCUGGGAAAAAAUUAAAACAUCAGUUAGAUCCACUGAUUGAUGGUUCUGUUUAGUUCAACUGUAUCCUUACUGACUUUCUGCCUACUGGAUCUUUCAGUUACUAAUAGAGGCAGUGCUGAAAUCUCUCUCGUUAGUAGUGGAUUAUCUAUUGUUCUCUG